UACGGGGGGGGUAAGCGUUGUUCGGAAUUACUGGGCGUAAAGGGCUCGUAGGCGGCCAACUAAGUCAGACGUGAAAUCCCUCAGCUUAACUGGGGAACUGCGUCUGAUACUGGAUGGCUUGGAUUCGGGAGAGGAAUGCGGAACUCCAGGUGUAGCGGUGAAAUGCGUAGAUAUCUGGAGGAACACCGGUGGCGAAGGCGGCAUUCUGGACCGAUAUUGACGCUGAGGAGCGAAAGCCAGGGGAGCAAACGGG
rnacentral:rRNA from 1 species